AGGUACAGCACCAGUUACUGGCCUCAGCUGUAAGUCACUCGGGAUGACCAGCUCUGACAGACUGUUGUAAGGGACAUUUACUUUUGAUCAGAAUUUUGAGGGGGUUUUCUGCUCCACUUAACCGUCUGGGCCUUUCUUUUGAAGACCCAAAAGAAGGUGGCAUGAUGUGGGCUGUAGCAUUACUUCUAGCUUUUCUGCUCCCUGGCAGUCAAAUGUCUUCCACCUGGGCAGGGAGAAUGCGGUCAGUCACCAAGACACUAAAGUCGUCUGUGGCAAUCAGUUGUGAUAUUUACCUGGACACGGCCUAUGUCCACUGGUAUCAGGCCGUGGAGGGGAAAGCCCCACGACACCUCCUCUUCUAUAACUUUGGUUCAACCACUGUCAUGGUGGACUCUGAACUCAGUCCAGGAAAAUACCAUGCUUAUGAAGGGGCAGAAAGGAACUGUAACUUGGUGAUACGAAAUCUGGACAGAAGCGAUGCUGGCAUGUAUUACUGCGCUGCCUGGACCGACACAGUGAUGCAGUCCUGCCACCAUCUAUGCUGAAAAGAUUUUUGGCAGCUGCUCGGGGUGAAGAAAGUCAGCCAGCUCACUUCCUGCCCUUGAUCUCCCUGGAUUAGGAACAAAAGGAAACUCCAAGACCCAUCCUCUACCCAUAACCUCACAUCCCACUCCCUACCACAGCCUUACUGCCACUAAAUACACCCCAGGAUGUUCCUAGAGACAAAACUGCCACCUCCUGCCCUCACACACACAUAUGGCUUGGAGUAUCUUCUUUACAGGCACUGGGGGAAAGCCCAUUCGUUCUGAAACCAGGACAUACAAAGUCACUCAGAGUAGAUCUAUUGCAGGAGAAGACAAGGAGAGCAUUA